UCUUUGCGAGUUUUGCCUCCAUUUUAACUGAGCCUUCUAGAAAGGAUCCCUUAAGACAAAUAUAAAUGAAUGUUAGGAAGUCCAGGCCCCAUGGAGUGGGGGAGCCCUGGAUUUGAAAAAGAUAUUCUAAUGUAGACGGCCAUAUGGCUUGUUAACUACAUGGGAUAGGGAAGCAACUGCUUUUGCAUGAAGGAGUCCAUGAGACAUAAGACAUUUUAACAGUAAAGAAGCCAAGAUAAUAAAAAGGAGGAAGUGAUAUUUGUUGGUGGGAAGGGAAGAUCUUUGAAGAAGAUCUGCUCAGUAUCAAAGAAUGGUGCAUUAAGACCAGCAGGAUAGCAAGCUGCAGGGAAUGAAAUCAGAUGCAUGAAGGAAAGAUGUAGAAUCUUUAAAGAGAGAAGACGGAAGAAAAACAAGAGAGAUUAAAUGAAGAUAGUGAAAGACUUUGACGAAGAGAAGAGGGUUAAAGGGACUUAUAUCAAGAAUCCUUGAUUCUUGGUCGUGUAAGAGUCAAGAGGACUACAAGGGGAUCAAAUAAAAAUGAAGAGUCAGAGCUCAAGAUCCUUAGAAAAACUUUAAAACAGACAUUGAAGUGAAAGUAGUGCAACACUGGGGACACAAAGAAGGUUCCGCCAAAAUUGAUUAUACCCUCCAGGUGAAAGGGAGAGAUGGAGAAUCCAUACACCAUGUCUUGAAGUCCAAAAAUCUCACAAUUUGCUUAUUGUGUUGGUUUUCUCCUCAGCUCUCCCCCCACCCAAAUCUUCAGGGGCCUUUUCUUGUAAAGCCCACACCAGACUUCUCUGACAAAGUAAUCCAAACACAUUUGGGCAUCUGAGUUGCAGAUUUUUGUUUCCCUACAAUGAUUCAGUUAGAGAAGCAAUGGUGUUAGCUUUUUUUUUUUUUUGUGUGUGUCAAAAUUCUUAUGGUUUCUAUUGCUACAUGACAAGUUACCACAAACUUAAGAGCUUAAAAUAAGACAUAUUUCUUACCUCACAAGUUCUAUGGGUUAGGAAUCCACAAACAGCUCAACUGGGUCAUAUGCAGUGAAGGGGUCAAUCAUGGCUAGGACUGCAUCUGGGGUUCUGAUGAGGAAGUAUCUGGUUCCUAGGUCACAUGGGUUUUGGGAGGAAUUUAUAGUUCCUUGCAGGUUAUUGGACUGUGGGGCUCAAUUCCUUGGCAGCUGUGAGCCAGAGGCUGCCCUCAAUCCCCUGCAGUAUAGGCUCCUCCAUACAAUAUAGCUUACUUCAUCAAAGUCAGCAAGGAAGGAGUCAAAAGAGAGUCUGCUAACAAGAUGGAAGUUACAAUGUUAUGGAACAUAAUCACAGAAGUGACAUCCCAUUACCUCCGCUGUAUUCUAUUAUUGGAAACAAGUCCUGGGAUCUGCCCCCACCACAAGAGGAGACUGGAUUAUACAAAGACAUGGCCACCAAGAGGGCCUCUUCUGCACUCUUCUAGAAAUAGGUGAGCUGCUUGUAAUUCCCACCCCUUUCCUGACACCAAGUCCAUGCUGAGCUACUGAGCCACUCUCAGUCUCAUCCAGGAGAAUGCGUCGACAGGAAAGAGAAAAGUCAGAGGAAGUCUCUAAUGGGGUACCAAAUUAGCACAUAGAAAAAACAAACAUGUCCUGCUCAUUAUGAAUUGUUAAUGGCCUGUUUACUGCUGAAGCUGUCACAGAAAACAGGCG